UACAGAGGGUGCGAGCGUUAAUCGGAAUUACUGGGCGUAAAGGGCGCGUAGGUGGAUGCGUAAGUCGGAUGUGAAAUCCCUGGGCUUAACCUGGGAAUGGCAUACGAUACUGGGGCAUCUAGAGUUGAGUAGAGGGAAAGUGGAAUUUCCGGUGUAGCGGUGAAAUGCGUAGAUAUCGGAAGGAACACCAGUGGCGAAGGCGGCUUCCUGGACUCAAACUGACGCUGAGGCGCGAAAGCGUGGGAUCAAACAGGG
rnacentral:rRNA from 1 species